GAAGCAAUUACACCUACUCACUCCCUGGGUGCAUCAAAGAAAUGUUAACAAGAAUCUCUGACAGAAACACUCAAAACAAAGCAAACAACACACAAACCCAGUGCCACGAUGGAGAAAAAGCGCAAAGAAGAUACGACGUGAAUAAACGAUUGGGAGCAAUGGGAAGUACAAAAAACUGCAGACAAACCAUAAACAAACUCCUUAACAGCACACAGCAGACGCAGGAAUGGCAAAAGUAAUGAACACGUUUAAAUCAAGCUGCUGGCGUAUAAACCACAAUACUCUGUAACCAAUUAUAUUGAUUCUGUUAACAA